rnacentral:rRNA from 1 species
UUACGUAGCUUGCUACGUAUGAGAGCGGCGGACUGGUGAGUAACACGUAGAUAACGCACCCUCCGGACGGGGAUAGCCUGUAGAAAUAUAGGAUAAUACCGGAUGCGAAGUACAGGGGAAGGGCCUGUACUGGAAAGGAGCUUCGGCUCCGCCGGAGGAACGGUCUGCGGCCCAUCAGCUUGUAGGCGGGGUAAAGGCCCACCUAGGCAAUGACGGGUAUCCGGCCUGAGAGGGUGAUCGGACACAUUGGGACUGAGAUACGGCCCAGACUCCUACGGGAGGCAGCAGCUAAGAAUAUUCCGCAAUGGGGGAAACCCUGACGGAGCGACGCCGCGUGGAUGAUGAAGGCCGGAAGGUUGUAAAAUCCUUUUGAAACCGAGGAAUAAGCAGUAUAGGAAAUGAUACUGCGGUGACUGUAAGUUUUGAAUAAGCACCGGCUAAUUACGUGCCAGCAGCCGCGGUAACACGUAAGGUGCGAGCGUUGUUCGGAAUUAUUGGGCGUAAAGGGCAUGUAGGCGGAAGCGCAAGUCCGGUGUGAAAUCCCGUGGCUCAACCACGGGGCUGCGCCGGAAACUGCGUAACUAGAAUCACUGAGGGGGAACCGGAAUUCCAGGUGUAGGGGUGAAAUCUGUAGAUAUCUGGAAGAACACCAAUGGCGAAGGCAGGUUUCCAGCAGAUGAUUGACGCUGAGGUGCGAAGGUGCGGGUAGCAAACAGGAUUAGAUACCCUGGUAGUCCGCACAGUAAACUAUGUACACUGGGUGUCCGGCCAGGAGGCUGGGUGCCGAAGCAAACGCGAUAAGUGUACCGCCUGGGGAGUAUGCCCGCAAGGGUGAAACUCAAAGGAAUUGACGGAGGCCCGCACAAGCGGUGGAGCAUGUGGUUUAAUUCGAUGGUACGCGAGGAACCUUACCUGGGUUUGACAUACACAGGAAUCGUAUAGAGAUAUAUGAGCGCAGCAAUGCGCCUGUGAACAGGUGCUGCAUGGCUGUCGUCAGCUCGUGCCGUGAGGUGUUGGGUAAAGUCCCGCAACGAAGCGCAACCCCUACUGGCCGGUUACCAGCCACGUAAUGGUUGGGGGACUCAAGGCCGGAACUGGCCGGCGAACAAGCCCGAAAGAAAGG